rnacentral:rRNA from 1 species
CUGGCUCAGGACGAACGCUGGCGGCGUGCUUAACACAUGCAAGUCGAGCGAUGAAGCUCCUUCGGGAGUGGAUUAGCGGCGGACGGGUGAGUAACACGUGGGUAACCUGCCUCAUAGAGGGGAAUAGCCUUUCGAAAGGAAGAUUAAUACCGCAUAAGAUUGUAGUACCGCAUGGUACAGCAAUUAAAGGAGUAAUCCGCUAUGAGAUGGACCCGCGUCGCAUUAGCUAGUUGGUGAGGUAACGGCUCACCAAGGCGACGAUGCGUAGCCGACCUGAGAGGGUGAUCGGCCACAUUGGGACUGAGACACGGCCCAGACUCCUACGGGAGGCAGCAGUGGGGAAUAUUGCACAAUGGGGGAAACCCUGAUGCCAGCAACGCCGCGUGAGUGAUGACGGCCUUCGGGUUGUAAAACUCUGUCUUUGGGGACGAUAAUGACGGUACCCAAGGAGGAAGCCACGGCUAACUACGUGCCAGCAGCUGC